GGACGGUUAGCUCAGCGGUAGAGCAGUGCAUUCACAUUGCAAAGGUCACAGGUUCAAAUCCUGUACCGUCCA
rnacentral:tRNA from 1 species